rnacentral:rRNA from 1 species
UACGUAGGGUCCGAGCGUUGUCCGGAAUUACUGGGCGUAAAGAGCUCGUAGGCGGCUUGUCACGUCGGGUGUGAAAGCCCGGGGCUUAACCCCGGGUCUGCAUUCGAUACGGGCAGGCUAGAGUGUGGUAGGGGAGAUCGGAAUUCCUGGUGUAGCGGUGAAAUGCGCAGAUAUCAGGAGGAACACCGGUGGCGAAGGCGGAUCUCUGGGCCAUUACUGACGCUGAGGAGCGAAAGCGUGGGGAGCGAACAGG